AUUGAACGCUGGCGGCAGGCCUAACACAUGCAAGUCGAGCGGAUGAAGGGAGCUUGCUCCUGGAUUCAGCGGCGGACGGGUGAGUAAUGCCUAGGAAUCUGCCUCGUAGUGGGGGAUAACGUCCGGAAACGAGCGCUAAUACCGCAUACGUCCUGAGGGAGAAAGUGGGGGAUCUUCGGACCUCACGCUAUCAGAUGAGCCUAGGUCGGAUUAGCUAGUUGGUGGGGUAAAGGCCUACCAAGGCGACGAUCCGUAACUGGUCUGAGAGGAUGAUCAGUCACACUGGAACUGAGACACGGUCCAGACUCCUACGGGAGGCAGCAGUGGGGAAUAUUGGACAAUGGGCGAAAGCCUGAUCCAGCCAUGCCGCGUGUGUGAAGAAGGUCUUCGGAUUGUAAAGCACUUUAAGUUGGGAGGAAGGGCAGUAAGUUAAUACCUUGCUGUUUUGACGUUACCAACAGAAUAAGCACCGGCUAACUUCGUG
rnacentral:rRNA from 1 species